ACGCUGGCGGCGUGCCUAAUACAUGCAAGUAGAACGCUGAAGAGAGGAGCUUGCUCUUCUUGGAUGAGUUGCGAACGGGUGAGUAACGCGUAGGUAACCUGCCUUGUAGCGGGGGAUAACUAUUGGAAACGAUAGCUAAUACCGCAUAACAAUGGAUGACACAUGUCAUUUAUUUGAAAGGGGCAAUUGCUCCACUACAAGAUGGACCUGCGUUGUAUUAGCUAGUAGGUGAGGUAACGGCUCACCUAGGCGACGAUACAUAGCCGACCUGAGAGGGUGAUCGGCCACACUGGGACUGAGACACGGCCCAGACUCCUACGGGAGGCAGCAGUAGGGAAUCUUCGGCAAUGGGGGCAACCCUGACCGAGCAACGCCGCGUGAGUGAAGAAGGUUUUCGGAUCGUAAAGCUCUGUUGUAAGUCAAGAACGAGUGUGAGAGUGGAAAGUUCACACUGUGACGGUAGCUUACCAGAAAGGGACGGCUAACUACGUGCCAGCAGCCGCGGUAAUACGUAGGUCCCGAGCGUUGUCCGGAUUUAUUGGGCGUAAAGCGAGCGCAGGCGGUUUGAUAAGUCUGAAGUUAAAGGCUGUGGCUCAACCAUAGUUCGCUUUGAAAACUGUCAAACUUGAGUGCAGAAGGGGAGAGUGGAAUUCCAUGUGUAGCGGUGAAAUGCGUAGAUAUAUGGAGGAACACCGGUGGCGAAAGCGGCUCUCUGGUCUGUAACUGACGCUGAGGCUCGAAAGCGUGGGGAGCGAACAGGAUUAGAUACCCUGGUAGUCCACGCCGUAAACGAUGAGUGCUAGGUGUUGGAUCCUUUCCGGGAUUCAGUGCCGCAGCUAACGCAUUAAGCACUCCGCCUGGGGAGUACGACCGCAAGGUUGAAACUCAAAGGAAUUGACGGGGGCCCGCACAAGCGGUGGAGCAU
rnacentral:rRNA from 1 species